GAUCACAAGGUCAGGAGAUGGAGACCAUCCUGGCUAACACGGAUUUCCAGCCUUGCUAUGAAAAGAGUUUGAAGGUUCUGUCUUUGUUAAAGGCGGGGAGGGGCCAGAAGAGGAAGAGGAAGAGAAAGAACAAGAAUAAGAAGAAAAAAAAAAUGCUGUCAAACUACCAGAUCUAGUUGUGUUUAAAAAUAAAAAAAGCAAUAGAGGAAUAUGGCUCAUAUUACCAGAGCACACACAGAAAAAAACAGCUUUGAUUGACGCUUUAUUCAUAUUUUCUAUAGGCUGGUUUAUUCCGCCCCCGCCCCACUCCACCCCACUUCAAAUGGAGAAAGUGACCCUGAUGGUCUCGGGAAAAGCAUGUUUGUUGUAAACUAUCUUCAGGACACUUUUAGUAGCUGAUGUAGGAAAAGGGGAGCGCAGGUCUCAUUUUCACCAAAGGGAUGUUUGCCAAUCUGCUUUUCUCCUUAUUAAUGCUUUCUUUAUUCCUUCACUUCUGCUAUCUUGUCAGCUAGCCAGCCCGCCCGCCCGCCAGCCCACAAAUGCUGUCUAAUAGCUUGUGAAAAGACAGAGCUUCUGUCCUCAACUGCCUUAUAUUCUGUGGGAGAGACCAUUGUAGUGGGGGUAAUUUCCUAAGUUUCUAGGAAAAUAUAUUCACACUCAGAUCCUUUCUACUACUGCCAAGCAAGUCAGGAACCACAUCUGUUAGCUAUCCAUUCUUUGCCCCAGACAGGGGAACUGUUUUUGUCCACUGUUUUGCCUGGUUAAUGUGCAAUCACAACUUUCUCUGUUGCUUCUCCCAUAUUGUAUCCGCCUGAACGGAACAAAGGCAGAAGAACCUGAACAAAAUAAAGGAAAAAGCUGAUGAAAUAAGGAUAAUAAGGAGUGAACUCAAAGUUUUCCCAAACUGUGAUUCCCAGCAUGGCUUUUGGUGCUAAUUUGUUCAAGACAUCUUUGGUCUUUUUAAAACCGUGAUGCUGUUAGUAAAGCAAGAACUGAUAGCUGACACAGAACAAUGAAAACAAGACAAACAAACAGUAAAAUCUCAACUGUCUGUGGGCGUUUAACAUAGGAGCACACAGGUCAGAAACCCCAAGGAUAAUAUAGAACCGAACAAUUGAUUUUUGUAAUGAAGAGCCUCAAGUCAUUAAGAAAAUAUUAAAUCAUGUUGGCCAUAGGUUUUUGCUAUGAUACCAAAACAUGCUUUAUAUUUAAGAGCAUUUUAAUCAAAAUAUAUAUGUAGUGAAAAUGGGAAUAUAAACAGUGCCUGUGUUAUCUGGGAAGUUUACUUAGGGAAGAAACUUCAUUCCACCAAAUAAAUUGGAUAAAUGAACUGCUAUUAUAUGUUGUAAUAAGCCAUCUUCCAUUGAAGUAGCUUUAUUUCAUAAUAUUAUGUUAUAUUUCUUUUUCUGCAGUGAAGUUUUAGAAAUUUAUAGGUCAAAUUCCUAUAACGUUAACGUGUGAGUUAACACAAUAGAUAACAAAAAAAAAAGUUUCUCUAAAAAAGCAGCCACAGUUAUGGUAGAAGACUAAUUGGCAGCCUGUAGGCAAUGUAAAGGCUUUUUUUAAUGGGGAGUUCCCAGGUGGAGGGAGCUACCUCUUAGAAGAGCAGCAGAUCUCAACAAAGGAUUUCUUUUUUUCCUGAGAAAGAGGUGAAGAUGUGAAGCAAGGAAGGUCAUAAAGUACAUGGUCAUGAGUUAAGGAUAAAAGAAUAUCAUGGAAUGUUUCUGGCAGUGCAGGGACAUGAAUGAAAAUAUGAGAUGAUUAAAUUAUGUAUAGAUGUGUGAAUAAGCAUGUAUGUUUUAUUGUUUAGAAAAGACUGGGGUCAUGGUGAAAUCAUUUGCACAAACUCCAGACCAACUCUUUUGAUAACAAAUCACUACUGUAAUGUCUGUGUAGAACAAUAUCUCACCAAGCAUUAGCAGUAAAAUAUCUUUUAUUAUUAUCUGUUGAAACCAAACGGUACCAUUAAAAAAAAAAUGUAACCCAAAAUAAUACUAGACAGUCUCUGGAAGUAGUAAUAGGAUCUGAGAGCUGAGAAAAAAAAAAAAAAA